rnacentral:ncRNA from 1 species
AGGAGGUUGGCUUAGAAGCAGCCACCCUUUAAAGAAAGCGUAAUAGCUCACUAGUCGAGUCGGUCUGCGCGGAAGAUGUAACGGGGCUCAACCAGUUACCGAAGCUGCGGAUGCACCGCAAGGUGCGUGGUAGGAGAGCGUUCUGUAAGCCUGUGAAGGUGUCUUGGAAGGAUGCUGGAGGUAUCAGAAGUGCGAAUGCUGACAUGAGUAGCGUUAAAGGGGGUGAAAAGCCCCCUCGCCGAAAGCGCAAGGUUUCCUACGCAACGUUCAUCGGCGUAGGGUGAGUCGGCCCCUAAGGCGAGGCAGAGAUGCGUAGCUGAUGGGAAACAGGUAAUAUUCCUGUACCGAUCAAUAGUGCGAUGUGGGGACGGAGAAGGUUAGCUCAGCCAACUGUUGGAAUAGUUGGUUCAAGCGUGUAGUCGUGCUCUAGGCAAAUCCGGAGGCUUAGAUGAGGCGUGAUAACGAGUCUGCUUGCAGACGAAGUGAGUGAUACCCUGCUUCCAGGAAAAGCCACUAAGCUUCAGCUAUUGACCGUACCGCAAACCGACACUGGUGCGCGAGAUGAGUAUUCUAAGGCGCUUGAGAGAACUCUGGAGAAGGAACUCGGCAAAUUGACACCGUAACUUCGGAGAAGGUAUGCCCCAAGUAGGUGAACUCGAACAGAGGGAGCCCAACGGGGUUGCAAAAAAUCGGUGGCUGCGACUGUUUAAUAAAAACACAGCACUCUGCAAACACGAAAGUCGACGUAUAGGGUGUGACGCCUGCCCGGUGCUGGAAGAUUAAAUGAUGGGGUGCAAGCUCUUGACUGAAGUCCCAGUAAACGGCGGCCGUAACUAUAACGGUCCUAAGGUAGCGAAAUUCCUUGUCGGGUAAGUUCCGACCUGCACGAAUGGCGUAACGAUGGCCACACUGUCUCCUCCAGAGACUCAGCGAAGUUGAAAUGUUUGUGAUGAUGCAAUCUCCCCGCGGAAAGACGGAAAGACCCCAUGAACCUUUACUGUAGCUUUACAUUGGACUUUGAACAGAUCUGUGUAGGAUAGGUGGGAGGCUUUGAAGUGAGGACGCUAGUUCUCAUGGAGCCAACGUUGAAAUACCACCCUGGUGUGUUUGAGGUUCUAACCUUGGUCCCUUAUCGGGAUUGGGGACAGUGUAUGGUGGGCAGUUUGACUGGGGCGGUCUCCUCCCAAAGUGUAACGGAGGAGUUCGAAGGUACGCUAAAUACGGUCGGAAAUCGUGUUGAUAGUGCAUUGGCAUAAGCGUGCUUGACUGCGAGACUGACAAGUCGAGCAGGUACGAAAGUAGGACAUAGUGAUCCGGUGGUUCUGUA